GUGAACCAGUGGUAGAAAGCACAGAAACUGAGGGGACAUAAUCAUCACUCAGUAGGCAAGAUGAUGAUGAAUGAAGUCCUGGCAGCUUCCUGUGUCCCAGGCCUUGUAGAAAUAAAUGAGACAGACGUGCUUCAAAGUUCUAAUGUGCAUCACAUCGGAUCUUGUUUAAGGAAGCGUUAAAAGGAACCCGCCGUUACCUAUUGAGAAGGCUCUGUGCUCUCAGGCAUUGUUUCUGAUUGAAUCCAGAGGUUGCAAGCAUGCCUUCCUGUAUUACCUGUUGGAGCAGGUUUAAUUUUAUAAAUUUUAAACACAAACUCUAUGAGUUUCUAGUUCAUAAUUGUUCUUUUUGGGGAUCCACUCAGAUGAACAGUAUUGCAUCUGUAAGAGAUACCCACUUCCCAGGACCAGAUUUGAUUGGAAUAUCAGUGGCAACAGACUCCAUCUGUAGCUCAUCCAGUACCAGUGAUGGAAAGGACAGAUGGCAAGGAAACCCUUCGGGGGGAAAAAGAAAGUCAUAUUGUGUUGGACCUACAGAUUACUAGAAACAUAGCUUUAGUAAAACAAGGCUUUUUUUCUUGAACACAAUCUGUGUAGACUGUGUAGUUCUUGAUUGGUGGCUUUAAUCCAUUAUCAUUAGGUAUCUCCUUGAAUGUUCUCAAAUACUGAAAGUCUUAAGCUUUCAUUAAAAAAAAAAAAAGUAAAUGCAGCUUUCAGAAAAUCCAGGAUUCAGUACAGUCUUUGAGUGUUUCACUUCAGCCUCCCUGUCCUGUUAUUACCAACAGCAGGUACCCGGGUGGUAGACAAGAAGCCUUAUGGGAUAGAUAAGGAAAUGAAGAUGAACAAACAUAUCACAUUGUAUCGUAAACAUACUUUAUAAGUACAUUUCUUAUUAGCUUCUUAUCCAGGCAGAGAUUAUAAAAGUUUGCUGCAAGUAUCCAGACCAGAAUUUAUGUUUUGGAAAUUAUCAGUGUUCACAAUACCUGCAGGGAAGAAAAAAAUACAAAAACUCAAAUAUGAAUACUCUUUACACCCAAAAGAAUAUUUUUAUCAUUCUUUUAUUUGUUUUUGGCUCUGUCAAAAAUUAAAGUGCUUGGAAUGCUGUAGUCUGUGGUCUCUUGAAAUUUAAUCAAUGAGAACCUAGCAUUUUCACAGUAUGCUGUCACUUUGGACAUUCAUAAUAAAAAUUGAAACUAA
rnacentral:sRNA from 1 species